UGGGGAAUCUUGGACAAUGGGGGCAACCCUGAUCCAGCCAUGCCGCGUGAGUGAUGAAGGCCUUAGGGUCGUAAAGCUCUUUCGCCUGUGAAGAUAAUGACGGUAGCAGGUAAAGAAACCCCGGCUAACUCCGUGCCAGCAGCCGCGGUAAUACGGAGGGGGUUAGCGUUGUUCGGAAUUACUGGGCGUAAAGCGCACGUAGGCGGACCAGAAAGUUGGGGGUGAAAUCCCGGGGGCUCAACCCCGGAACUGCCUCCAAAACUAUUGGUCUAGAGUUCGAGAGAGGUGAGUGGAAUUCCAAGUGUAGAGGUGAAAUUCGUAGAUAUUUGGAGGAACACCAGUGGCGAAGGCGGCUCACUGGCUCGAUACUGACGCUGAGGUGCGAAAGUGUGGGGAGCAAAACAGGAUUAGAUACCCUGGUAGUCCACACCGUAAAACGAUGAAUGCCAGUCGUCGGGUAGCAUGCUAUUCGGUGACACACCUAACGGAUU
rnacentral:rRNA from 1 species